GAAAGAGGAAAAAGAAAAGAAGGAAAGAUAUCAGGCAUAGCUGAUGAUAUGUAUAUUCCUUCAGGACAGAGCCAAAAUAGCAAAGUAAAGUGAGCAUUUCUGCUGAGCUCUCCUAAUAUAUCCCUUUAAACAACUUUAAAACAUGUGUCAACCUGAAUUCUAUGUGAAAUAAUGAUCAAAAAGCCACAGUGAGUCAUUUUUCUAGCCCAGGGCAGGUUAGGAAGAGAGAAAGAGGUCUUUGUGUCAUCAGGUAUGUGUCCUGGUUUUGCCUUUGAAAGAAUUUCGGCUCAAACUGUCUCCAAACCAAGCAAACUCAUUUUAAGGAGAUUUACAAACUCAGUGUGCAGGCUAAGCUCCUAGAAAGGGUCAGCAGCCCAGCAAAGCAAGACAAAGAUUUUUUUUUUUUUUUUUUUUUUUUUUUUUUUUUGCUGAGGCAACUGGGGUUAAGUGACUUGCCCAGGGUCACACAGCUAGAAAGUGUUAAGUGUCUGAGAUCAGAUUUGAACUCAGGUCCUCCUGACUUCAGGGCUAGUGCUUUAUCCACUGCACCACCUAGCAUCCCCAAGGGAAAGAUUUUUACAGAGUAAAUGGUACUGAUUAUAGCACAAGAUAUGUAAAUUUUGACAUUAUGGGAGGAAUUUUCUAUUAUGUUAUGGGGACUCCUAAAGCCUUGGUGGAAAUGAGCUUGUGGUUACCCAGAAUGCAUGCAGAAAAGCCCUCUUGGGAGAUAUUAAUUUAUAGUAACGCUAUUAUAACUAGCAAGGGUUCACCCAAGGACAACAAAGAGGGGGAGCUCUGCAGGCUCCACGUCAGGGGAAAGAUUUAUUGAGGUCUGCAGAUCAGUGUCUUGUUCUGCAUCCCAAUGGUGUCAUUUUCUUAUUGGCUGAUUGGUGUGUUAUGUUUUGUGGCUACUGCCACGUGGUAGCCUGGUGAUAUGGUUACAGAAUAUGCUUGCCUGAGUAAUUGAGACCUUAUGAGCAACGAUUUCGGGGGGCUUGGGCCGGGAGAAAAUUUGGGUUAGGACGGGCUGGGGACAAUAACCAGAAUUUCAUCGUUUGCACAUUGGGGUAGGGGUUCACUGGGAGCAAGAUGUGGCGAAAGUGGUCUCACCUGAGUGCUGUGAAUGUGGCGGCAGCAGGAGCUGCCAGCACCCGGGGAUGAUAAAAGGCUUGAAUACUGGUUGGAGAUUCCAUGGGACGCAGGCAGGGCUGGGAAGAGGACAGCAACCCUUUGGCCACUCCGUUGCCCAUUACCUCAUUCCAGGGAAGAGAGCAGUGUUUGGCGUUGAAAGGGAGCAAGAGCUCUACCUGGGUAAGGACCAGAGCACAGAUCAGGAGGCCAGUCAGUGAGCAGACUUCUUUGCAGAUCCCACCACUUUGGAAGCACAGAAAACACACACAUUCCCAGGUGAAAAAGUAGCAGGACAUGAAAAUCAGAAAACCAGGUCAACUAUCCCCACCAUCAUCUGAGGUAAAUACAACCCAACUCUAACAUACAAUCCAAAAUCUAGAAAUAAACUAGAAAAUGAGCAAAUAACAAAAAAGUAUCUUACCACGAGAAGUUUCUAUGGUGCCAGUGAAGCCCAAGACACAAACUCAGAAGACAAUGAUUUGAAAACAUCUAUAAGCAAACUCUCAAAAGAAAACUGCAGAUUGGACUCAAGGCCAAUAAGAAUUCCAAGAAGAGCUAAAGAAAAAGCUUUUUUAGAGAACAAAAAAAUUAUUUUAAAAAACCAAAUAAGAGUGAUGGAGGAAAAAUUGGGGAAAGAAGUAAACGUACUACAAGGAAAUUAUGACAAGAGGAUUUGUAUCCUAUACUAUUCUUUCAGGGCCCCCAAAACCUCUUUUUUCCCCCAAUAAAUAGCUGCAGUCUUCUGCCACUAGAGUGCUUCAUAUGGCAGUGAGUUCAUGAGUAUACUCACUCCCCAGUGUCUGCAGACCAUCUCCAUAUAUCCUUUAAGCCAACUUGGGCUGAAAAAAUGACUCACUGUAAUUUUUUUUUCCCUUGAGUUACACAAUCAGAGCUUUUUCUAGUUCUUUUUUUUUUUUUGCUGAGGCAAUUGGGAUUAAGUGACUUGCCCAGAGUUACAUAGCUAGUAAGUAUUAAGUGUCCAAGAUUUGAACUCAGGUCCUCCUGACUUCAGGGCUGGUGCUCUAUCCAUUGCACCAUCUAGCUGUCCCUCCAGUUCAUUUUCCAGACCUUUGUGGAGGAGAUGUAUUGCGGGAAGCUAGUUAAUCUUCCUCUUACUACUCUGCCAUCUUGACUAUCUUGACCCCCCAAAAAUGUCUCAAUCUAUACCUUGAGUCCUUUAGUUAGGAAGUAAAUGGCAUGUUUCUUUCUUUCUUUUUUUUUUUUUUAAAUAACUUUUUAUUGACAGAACCAAUGCUAGGGUAAUUUUUUACAGCAUUAUCCCUUGCACUCACUUCUGUUCCGAUUUUUCCCCUUCCUCUCUUCACCCCCUCCCCCAGAUGGCAAGCAGUCCUUUACAUGUUAAAUAUGUCACAAUAUAGCCUAGAUACAAUAUAUGUUUGCAGAACCGAACAAUUUUCUUGUUGCACAGGGAGAAUUGGAUUCAGAAGGUACAAAUAACCCGGGAAGAAAAACAAAAAUGCAAGCAGUUUAUAUUCAUUUCCCAGUGUUCUUUUUUUGGGUGUAGCUGCUUCUGUCCAUCCUUGAUCAAUAGAAACUGAGUUAGAUCUUCUCUUUGUCAAAGAGAUCCACUUCCAUCAGAAUAUAUCCUCAAACAGUAUCAUUGUUGAGGUAUAUAAUGAUCUCCUGGUUCUGCUCAUUUCACUCAGCAUCAGUUCAUGUAAGUCUCGAAUGGCAUGUUGCAAAGUGAAUUUGAGGAAGAAUCUACAUACUUUUUGUUUAGACUGUCCCCCGGUUGAGCUUUUUGCUAUGAGCAAUAAAUCUGCCAUUCCCAUAGGAAAUGAACAUGACGCAGUAAACAGCAAAAACAACAUGUCCUUGGCUGAAGGACAGUAGCUACUAGGCCCCCAGUGAGGCAAGCAGUCAUGAGUUAGAUAUUCACCUGAAACAGGAUAUAGCUGACAAGAAACGGACUUUCCCCAUGCACUGCCCACGUGUGCAAAAUCUUAUCUGAGAUUAUCCAGUUUUCUCGUUUUGUCCAAUUCUCCUGUUUCUCUUUCUCUCUCUUCUUUAUAUAAACUCUCACUUUACUCCACUGGGCUGUUAACUCCCUUAAAGAAGAGAUCCCCAGGGGUGAGUUACCCCAAGUUACCCCAAAUAAAGGCCCAUGUUCGAUCCGGAGAUUGUCGGAGCUUGAAUUCUUUCGAUGUGACCCCCCCAACACAAAUCCAAUACCUCAACAUUUUGGUGACCUGGAUGGAAAAGUCUUCCACCUCCAACUCAAGGAUCUCUGAUUCAACCAGAAGAUGACUGCGCUUUCACUCAAGAAGCCUCUCUAGAAGACCAUCUGUCCCCGGAGCCAUCUUGCCUCUAGAGAAUAUAGAAUUUCCCCAGAACCACUACCAGGAUUGUGAUGAAGUGCCGGAUCUAGCUUAGUCCAGCUGCCUGGACCCGAAGGGCACCCCUGAAACAACCCUGAUGUAAUCUGGAGUGCAGAUGGGUCUAGCUUUGUAGAUGGGGAGAAUAAGAUCCACCUGCAAUCUGCCCCACUUCCUCCUGGUACUUCUGCCAAGAAGACUAAGUUAACAGCUCUCAUACUGGCUCUAGAGUUAAGCAAAGGCAAUCAGGCAAAUAUUUAUUCUAAAUACGCCUUUCAAGUUCUUCAUGCCCUUGGGGCAAGAUGGAAAGAAACCAUCAGCCCUGGAGAUAUUUAAAGUCUUGGAAGGAAUGGGGAAUUGACUCCCUAGGAGAGAAAUGGAAGGAUCCAUAGAGUCAGUUUCCAUCAACUAUGAAACUCAAAGGUCUCCCUAGCUGACGCAUGUGACCCAAUCAAGCAUGAGAACGAAAAUUUGCAUCUCCUCCAGGUAGUAUAUUAUCCAACGAAGGUGAUGGUAAGGUACUGCAAGUCUUCAGAAGUAAACUUGAGCAAACAAAGGCAAUCAGGUGGUAGACAGAACAGCUAAAGCAACAGCCAGGGAACCAAUCUACUGGCUCUUCUGAUACCUCAAGUUCCUCUUCCUUUACACUAUAGAGGAGAAACAGCAUUAUAAGUCUAGGGGAUAUGAACUCUCAUCAGAAUGAUGUUGAAGCCCCACAGGGCACAAAGUCAUCCCAGGGACCCGUAUGUGCAAGUGUUUGUGGCAGCCCUUUUUGUAGUGGCCAGAAACUGGAAACUGAGGGAUGACCAUCAACUAAGGAAUAGCUAAAUAAGUAAUAGUAUAUGAAAGUAACAGAAUAUUAUUGUUCAGUAAGAAAUGACCAACAGGAUGAUUUCAGAAAGUCUUGGAGAGAUUCACAGGAACUGAUGCUUCAACAACAAUACUAUAUGAUGAUCAAUUCUGAUGGACGUGGCCCUCUCUCAACAAUGAGAUGAACCAAAAUCAGUUCCAUUUGUUCAAUAAUGAAUAGAAGCAGCUACACCCAGCAAAAGAACUCCGGGAAAUGAGUGUGAACCCCUACACAGAAUUCCCAAUCCCUCUAUUUUUGUCCACCUGCUUUUGAUUUCCUUCACAGGUUAAUUGUACAUUAUUUCAAAGUCCGAAUCUUUUUUGUGCAGCAAAAUAACUGUUUGGACAUGUAUACGUAUAUUAUAUUUAACAUCUACUUUAACACAUUUAACAUGUAUUGGUCUAUCUGCCAUUUGGGGGAGGGGGUGGGAGGAAGGAGAGGAAAAGUUGGAACAAAAGGUUUUGCAAGGGUCAUUGCUGAAAAAUUACCCAUGCAUAUAUCUUGUAAAUAAAAAGCUAUAAUAAAAAAAAAUUCAUCGCAAAAUCAACAUUGUAGAAGUUCCUUUUUGGAUUGCACCAGGCUACUCAUUAGGGAAACAUGCCCUCUAUAUUCUGUUAAAACUUUUCACAGACUCAGAAUAUUAGAAGCAGAGGCUGCCCUGUCUGUGCCCCGGCUCACCCUGAAGGUGCAGUGAGAUCCCCAGCCCUCUUGACUCAGGUCCAGAAUCGAGAAUUCUUCCCGGGGAAGGCUGGCAACUUGAUUCCAUACAUAUGGUACUGUUAGGGAGUCAGACUCCUUGUAUUUGUAGCUACCUUCUGCAGCUGAGUUGAGACUUACCCCUGCUGCACAGUAAGAGCAAGCAAGGUUGCUAGACUCCUCCAGAUAUGGACCGCCUCCAUCUUUACAGAGGGAUAAUGGCCCAACCUUUACUUCCCAAGUCACCGGGGUAGUGGCUGAAGCACUGGGCAUUGCACAACUCUUGGGACCCCAAUCCUCAAGCAAGGUGGAAAAGAUGAAUCAUGCAUUGAAAAGAACUUUGACCAAAUUGACCCUGGUGAUUAGACAGGACGGGGUGAUGUGGCUCCCAAUCCCCGCUUCUUGAGCAGAUGUUAAGUUUAGCUCUUUGGGGCUUAUGUGCGACAUCCUAACAGAUCCUGAACAUCGACUUCUUACCCAAACUUUUAUCUCCUUAGGUCAGUUGCAACUGAUCUCUUCAGAUUCUGUUAAUGCUCACAUCCCUAAGCCAGAUAAAACCAUAUCUGUGCCCUCUUUAACCAUCAGCCCUGGAGAUAUUUAAAAUCCUGGAGGGCACAGCGACCUCACCCAUUGGGAAAGAAAUGGAAGGGCCUCUACAGAGUCACUUUAACCAACCCACAGCUGUGAAGCUCGAAGGCCUCCCUGGCACUCAUUUGUGCCAGAUAAAACCCGUCUUCUUCCAUCACAGACAGCUCAUGAAACAAAUUCUCUCUUCAAGAGAAGCAGAGGACCUUGGUGCUCAAUUUAUAUUCGAGUAGUUUCUUUUUGUCUGUUUUGUUUCCACAUUCUGCCUUCUCUCUAGCUCUUAUUUGUUCUCCUUCCUAUCCCCUAUUUCGAAUCCUCUGUCCAUAAUUGUGUUGGUUUUGGUUUUGGAGCCAUGCUGUUAAAUACAUUAGAGCACUUGGUCUCUUCUCUGUUACAGAAGUCCCCACCUUCAGCUUCUAGGCUACUAGCCCUUGACCUGGCUCAGAGUGCCCAACCCUAGAUGUAGCCCACAAUGAGUUCCAAAGCCCUUCCCCUCUCCUCCCAGGGCCAAUCCUGCAUCCCCUUGUCAGCGGGAAGCAGUAAUGGAAGAUGAGAUUUUCACCUUCUUUCUAAAAGAUUUCCUCCAAUAAAAAACUUGCAUAAACUGAUGCUACAUAAGUGAGCAGAACCAACAGAACAUUAGGCACAGUAAUAAAAUUAUAUGAUGAUCAACAAUGAUGGACUCAACUCUUCUCAACAAUGAGGUGAUUCAAGACAAUUCCACUAGACUUGUGAUGGGUGUGCCAUCCACAUCAAGAGAGAGAAUUAUGGAGACUGAAUGUGGAUCAAAGCAUGGUAUUUUUAUCUUUUUGUAGAUGUUGUUUAUUUACUUGUUUGUUUGUUUGUUUGUUUAUUUCUCAUGUUUUUUUCACUUUUCCUCUGAUUUUUCUUGUGCAGCAUGAUGAAUAGGAACAUAAGUUUAAUGGAAUCGCACAUGUUUAAGCUAUUGGUUGAUUGCUAUCAAUCAACUUCUGGAGAGGGAGGGAGGAAAAUUUGAAACAAGGUUUUUCAAAAGUGACUCCUGAAAACUAUCUUUGCAUAUUUUUUGGAAAAUAAAAUAAAAUAUUGUCAAAAAGCAAAAAAAAAA